rnacentral:rRNA from 1 species
CCUACGGGAGGCAGCAGUGAGGAAUAUUGGUCAAUGGACGAGAGUCUGAACCAGCCAUGUAGCGUGAAGGAUGACUGCCCUAUGGGUUGUAAACUUCUUUUAUAUGGGAAUAAAAUGUUCCACGUGUGGGAUUUUGUAUGUACCAUAUGCAUAAGGAUCGGCUAACUCCGUGCCAGCAGCCGCGGUAAUACGGAGGAUCCGAGCGUUAUCCGGAUUUAUUGGGUUUAGAGGGAGCGUAGGUGGAUUGUUAAGUCAGUUGUGAAAGGUUGGGGCUCAACCGUAGAAUUGCAGUUGAAACUGGCAGGCUUGAGUGCCGUAGAGGGGGGCGGAAUUCGGGGUGUAGCGGUGAAAUGCUUAGAGAUCACGAAGAACACCGAUUGCGAAGGCAGCUCACUGGACUGCAACUGACGCUGAGGCUCGAAAGUGUGGGGAGCAAACAGGAUUAGAUACCCCUGUAGUC